UACGUAGGGUGCAAGCGUUAAUCGGAAUUACUGGGCGUAAAGCGUGCGCAGGCGGUGAUGUAAGACAGUUGUGAAAUCCCCGGGCUCAACCUGGGAACUGCAUCUGUGACUGCAUCGCUGGAGUACGGUAGAGGGGGAUGGAAUUCCGCGGUGUAGCAGUGAAAUGCGUAGAUAUGCGGAGGAACACCGAUGGCGAAGGCAAUCCCCUGGACCUGUACUGACGCUCAUGCACGAAAGCGUGGGGAGCAA
rnacentral:rRNA from 1 species